rnacentral:rRNA from 1 species
GACGAACCGUGCAAACGUUGUUCGGAAUCACUGGGCUUAAAGGGCGCGUAGGCGGGCCAGCCAGUCUGUGGUGAAAGCCUCCAGCUUAACUGGAGAAGUGCCGUGGAUACUGCUGGCCUCGAGGAGGGUAGGGGCAUCUGGAACGGUCGGUGGAGCGGUGAAAUGCGUUGAUAUCGACCGGAACUCCGGUGGCGAAGGCGACAUCCUGGACCGGUAUUGACGCUGAGGCGCGAAAGCCAGGGGAGCAAACGGG